UUUUCUCUUUCUCCUGCGCCUCUCACACUCGCUGCAAGAACGUGAAACCCUAAUUCAUGUCAUUCUGUCAUAUUUCUAUCUUACAUCUUCUUCUAUUUCUGUUUUAUCCAUGUUGUGCAUCUGCUGAGAGAGUUUAUCUAUGAUCUGAUUGUUACCUAAAUCUGCUUUCAAAGUUUAAAUCCAUGAGUAUUGUUAGUCUCGAAAUCAAGACCGAUAACAAAACCCAUUUCUCUAAUUUUUCUUAGUCUUUAUUUUCAGAUUUUUCAUCACUGAUUUUUUUUAUCUUUUAUUGAUUUUGUUUGACUCUUAUUUUGUGAAUGGAAGGUUAUAGAUUUCAUGAGUUAAGAUUAGGGUUUAUUGCCAGUUCUGUCAAAUUUAGGGUUAACAGUUUUCCUUUCAAAUGGUUGGGAAUUGGGGGUUUGUAUGAUAUUUAGAGUUUACUGUAAAAGCAUGGGAUUUCGAUUGAAGUCUUUUGGUAAGUUUAGAGUUUACUGUAAAAGCAUGGGAUUUCGAUUUUGAUUCAGAUUUCGCUUUUGUAGCAUAAGGUUUAUUAAUGGAAGUAGUUUAUCAGCUUUCUGACUUUUAUCUCUCUAUUCACACAGGCGAAAAUUAGCCUAGGUCCAACUAUCCUUUGUUCUUUCACCACAAAGUAAUACUAAUCUCAGAUCUGUAUAUUGGGAUUUCGAUUUUGUUGUAUUAUGAGUUGAUGCUUUCGAAUUAGGGUUUAUUCUUCAUUUCUUGCUAAUUUGUUGUGUCAAAUUUAGGGUUUUCAAUUUUUCUUUCAUAGUUUUUAAUAGUUUGGAAUUAGGGGUUUGUUUUUCUUAUUCAAAUUAGGGUCUGAGAAUUAGUAUGUUGAUUUUGGGCUCUGCAACUGUGAUGGUGAUUCCUGAGUUGCAAUUUUUUGUUUUUGUCUUAAUUUUGAUGAAGUUUUCACAGUCAAAUUUUGGGUUUAAAUCUUAUUUAUUUAUGACAGUGAUAGUUAAGGUUUACUGUGAUAGCAUGGGGUUUUGAUUUAGGUUCAGAUUUUCAACUUUGGUAGCAUAGGGUUUACUAUAAUUCUUGUGUUGUUCUUAUAAAUGGAAGUCAUGUUCUUGUUCGCUUUUGCCUUUGUUUCUCUAUUUUGCACCAGCAAUUUCCCCCCCUACUUAUUGGUGCUUUUGUUCAAUACUUGCUUGGUCAAAGCAUAUGGUCUUACUCCCUCUGUAACUUAUGUUUCUAUGAUAGAAAAAGCUUUGCAUAAAUUUACAGGUAUACUCAGUUGAGAGUUCAACCAUGAUAGUGUUCCUGACUUAAAACUUUGGUUUCAAGUCUUAUUUUUUUUGUUCUGAAUUUUUAUUGCCAUUAUGAUAAAAGGGCAAUAGAAAUUGAUAUUGAAGAAACAUAUUUGCUCUUGUUAAUAUUUAACUUGUGGUUUGUGUGACCUCUGCGGUGCUGUUAUACUUUGCGGCAUGUUAUUUGUUAAAUAGUGAUGUUAGAAAUCUGGAAAGUAGUGUGUUUCCACAGUUACAGCUUGUGAAUUUAUGUGUGGAGUGGUGUCAUGAUUUUUUUUGAUGCUAUUAUAGAACAUCAUGAGAGUACCCCAAGUAGGGUGGAUGAGAGUUGUCAUAAACUAAACAUUUAGGCCUUGAUGUUUCAUUGCUUCUAAUCUUCACUUACUUAUUUGUACUAAUAUUCUUAACUAAGUAACCAGCUUCCUCUUAUGCACUAUUUUCUCUUAUUAGCUCUACUUAUUCUUUUGUUGUCUCUUUUAAUAGGUGAAGCGACUUUUGAGUGAGGUGAUGGAUGUCAAUAUUCUUUCCUGGGGUUAAGAUCACAAGGUAUGACUCUGCUACACCUUGCUGCAAAGGGAGGGUAUCAUAAGGUCAUUGAUGAAUUGCUUGAGAAUGGAGCAAAUAUUGAUGCUAGAACAAAGGGUGCAUGUGGCUAUUCACCACCUUGGUGGCGGCAUUAGAUGCUACAAAUUCAAAACCUCGGUGGCGGCAUUAGUGUAUGGCUUUCCACAAUUUAAGCUGGUGUUUGGUCACGGCUUGUGAAACAUUUAAUAUGCAGGCAAGUACUCUGCUUUCUCCUACCAUUUGACUUAGUACCAUAACAUGGUGAUGAAGGUCAACUAAUUGCUGCAUUUGCUACAAAAAUGCAAAGCCUUCCACAUUUCAGGUGAUUCUCAUUUCGUUUUUUUCAAUUUAAGUGCGGCAUUUGCUAAUGGAAUUUGUGUAUGAUGUACUUGGAAGUAAUUAUUUAUUGGAGCCGAAAAGGUAUGAAGAGAUCAGAAAACUCAUUCUAACUUGAAAAAAAUUAGGGUGUGGUGGUCUGGUUCAGAUUUUUUUAACUUCUCACUCUCUUUUGGUGCAGCCAAACACAAAACUAGGUUCCUCUGUUCUUGCUCUUGAUUUUGGUUGUGCUCUUUAGAUUGGGUUUACAUAAGAAGGAAAAAGGCUUGAUGGUAAGGCACAUGCUGAACAGAUUACGCGUCAUCAAGGAGAUGCAUUACUUUGAGGAGCUUUGUCGCAGCUCAGAGUGUUAGGUUUGAAUUUUUUUGGGUUUAAUUUCAUAAUGAAUAGAAUGAUUCUGUUGUAUGUGUUCGUAAUGAAUGUAUGAACCUUCUUUGUAGAAUGCAUGAAUUUAUGAAUCUUCUUUUGAGAAUGCAUGAACUGCAGAUUGAAAAAUAAGAAA